CCUACGGGAGGCUGCAGUGAGGAAUAUUGGUCAAUGGACGAGAGUCUGAACCAGCCAAGUAGCGUGAAGGAUGACUGCCCUAUGGGUUGUAAACUUCUUUUAUAUGGGAAUAAAACAGGGUAUGCAUACCCUCUUGUAUGUACCAUAUGAAUAAGGAUCGGCUAACUCCGUGCCAGCAGCCGCGGUAAUACGGAGGAUCCGAGCGUUAUCCGGAUUUAUUGGGUUUAAAGGGAGCGUAGGUGGAUUGUUAAGUCAGUUGUGAAAGUUUGCGGCUCAACCGUAAAAUUGCAGUUGAAACUGGCAGGCUUGAGUACAGUAGAGGUGGGCGGAAUUCGUGGUGUAGCGGUGAAAUGCUUAGAUAUCACGAAGAACUCCGAUUGCGAAGGCAGCUCACUGGACUGCAACUGACACUGAUGCUCGAAAGUGUGGGUAUCAAACAGGAUUAGAUACCCCUGUAGUC
rnacentral:rRNA from 1 species